rnacentral:lncRNA from 1 species
AUGUGUGCAUGUGUGCAGGGGUGUAGUGUGUGUAUGUAUGUGUGUGCACAUGCGUACAUGUGUGUGGAAGUGCUUGUGCCUGUGUGUAUAUACCUGUGUGUGCUUGUGUGCAUGUCUGUACAUGUGUGUGCAUGUGUGCAGGGGUGUAGUGCACAUGUGUAUGCCUGUGUGUAUAUGUGUGUGGGAGUGUUUAUGCAUGUCUGUACCUGUGUAUGCAUGUGUGUACAUGUGUGUGCAUUGUGUAUAUGCCUGUGUGUGCAUGUGUGCAGGGGUGUAGUGCAUAUGUGUAUAUGUGUACCUAUGUCGGGGAAUGCUUGUGCAUGUCUGUACCUGUGUGUGCCUGUGUGUAUAUACCUGUGUGUACAGGGGUGUAGUGCAUGUGUGUAUCUGUGUACAUGUGUGCGGGAGUACUUGUGUAUGUCUGUACGUGCGUGCAUGUGUGUAUAUACCUACCUGUGUGUGCGUGUAUGUAUAUACCUGUGUGUGCAUGUGUGUACAUACCUGUGUGUGUGUAUACCUGUGUGUGCAUGUGUGUAUAUACCUGUGUGUACAUGUGUGUAUAUUCCUGUGUGGGGGUGUGUGUAUAUACCUGUGUGUGUGUGUGUAUACCUGUGUGUGCAUGUGUGUAUAUACCUGUGCGGGUGUGUGUGUAUAUACCUGUGUGUGCGUGUGUGUAUAUACCUGUGUGUGUGUGUGUAUACCUGUGUGUGCAUGUGUGUAUAUACCUGUGCGGGUGUGUGUAUAUAUACCUGUGUGUGCAUGUGUGUAUAUACCUGUGUGUGCGUGUGUGUAUAUACCUGUGUGUGUGUGUGUAUAUACCUGUGUGGGCAUGUUUGUAUAUACCUGAGUGCGUGUGUGUAUACCUGUGCGUGUGUGUAUAUACCUGUGCGUGUGUGUAUAUACCUGUGUGUGUGUGUAUAUACCUGUGUGUGCAUGUGUGUAUAUACCUGUGCAGGUGUGUGUGUAUAUACCUGUGUGUGCAUGUGUGUAUAUACCUGUGUGUGCGUGUGUGUAUAUACCUGUGUGUGUGUGUGUGUAUAUACCUGUGUGGGCAUGUUUGUAUAUACCUGA